AUACUCUGAAAUGUGGCUCCAGUAUCUAAUUUGCUAUCUUAUUUGUUCUGACAUAGUGUGACUCUCUUAGGGACAGCUGAUCCAGGACCAGCCCAGAGGGGAACAUUCUCUUUAGAGCAGAGCAUUAGGCUAAAUACUCCCAUCAAUCACUUCCCAUUGGACAGCCCCAGGUCCACUGGUAACAAGAACCCUUUCACCUGUGACUGUGAUGUCAACUCUCCUCUCCCAUCUCAGCGCAACUCUUUAUGACCAGAUUACACAAACUGAUCACCCUCUGUCUCAUGAACGAAGAGCAGGAUGCUGAAAGACAGAAGAUGGCAGAGCCUAAUCAUAUCAACCUUGUAUUUACAUCUUAAAAAGCAACAAUAAAUGAAUCUGACCAUUUUUUAUGUGACGG
rnacentral:lncRNA from 13 species